UGGGGAAUAUUGGACAAUGGGCGCAAGCCUGAUCCAGCCAUGCCGCGUGAGUGAUGAAGGCCCUAGGGUUGUAAAGCUCUUUUGUGCGGGAAGAUAAUGACGGUACCGCAAGAAUAAGCCCCGGCUAACUUCGUGCCAGCAGCCGCGGUAAUACGAAGGGGGCUAGCGUUGCUCGGAAUCACUGGGCGUAAAGGGUGCGUAGGCGGGUCUUUAAGUCAGAGGUGAAAUCCUGGAGCUCAACUCCAGAACUGCCUUUGAUACUGAGGAUCUUGAGUUCGGGAGAGGUGAGUGGAACUGCGAGUGUAGAGGUGAAAUUCGUAGAUAUUCGCAAGAACACCAGUGGCGAAGGCGGCUCACUGGCCCCGAUACUGACGCUGAGGCACGAAAGCGUGGGGAGCAAACAGGAUUAGAUACCCUUGUAGUCCCUGAGCGGGCUGGCAAGGCGCAU
rnacentral:rRNA from 1 species